rnacentral:rRNA from 1 species
CCUACGGGAAGCAGCAGUGGGGAAUAUUGCACAAUGGGGGAAACCCUGAUGCAGCGACGCCGCGUGAGUGAAGCAGUAAUUCGUUAUGUACAGCUCUAUCAGCAGGGAAGAAAAUGACGGUACCUGAGUAAGAAGCCCCGGCUAACUACGUGCCAGCAGCCGCGGUAAUACGUAGGGGGCAAGCGUUAUCCGGAUUUACUGGGUGUAAAGGGAGCGUAGACGGCAGUGCAAGUCUGGAGUGAAAGGCGGGGGCGCAACCCCCGGACUGCUCUGGAAACUGGACGGCUGGAGUGCAGGAGAGGUAAGUGGAAGUCCUAGUGUAGCGGUGAAAUGCGUAGAUAUUAGGAGGAACACCAGUGGCGAAGGCGGCUUACUGGACUGUAACUGACGUUGAGGCUCGAAAGCGUGGGGAGCAAACAGGAUUAGAUACCCCAGUAGUC